rnacentral:tRNA from 1 species
GAGAUARGUAGUUACAAGAAAAAGCUGCUAACUUUYAUCUUUAGCGGUUAAACUCCGUUAGUAUCUCU